UCGCUGCUGGCGGGCGGGCUGUUCCUGCCGGGCUGCGCGGGGCUGCCGGACCCCUGCGAGGCGGCGCACUCGCGCGCGCACACCGCGCUGGACCUGGCCGCCCAGGACCACGCCGCCGCCACCGCCCAGACUCUUCUUCGUGUGGUGGCUCGCAGAGGACAUCGGUACGUGUUGGGACUGUAGGCCUUCGAGGGUGGCAAGGACAUCUCCACUGAGAUCACCGUGUGGGACGGUGUCGUGGUGUCUCCACUGGCCCCUGCUUACAGCGAUGCCCCCGAGCCCAUGGACACUGAUGAUAAAGAUGACGAAGGAGUGCAAGACGGAGUCGCCGCUUAGGUUUAGUUAUUAAGGAACUUUAUAUUAAAAUUUGUAAUAAUAAAUUUAUAAUUUAAGUACA